rnacentral:rRNA from 1 species
UACGUAGGGGCCGAGCGUUGUCCGGAGUUACUGGGCGUAAAGCGCGCGCAGGCGGCUCGUCAAGCCUGACGUGAAAGCCCCCGGCUCAACCGGGGAGGGUCGUCGGGGACGGCGGGGCUUGAGGGCGGGAGAGGUCGGUGGAAUUCCCGGUGUAGUGGUGAAAUGCGUAGAGAUCGGGAGGAACACCUGUGGCGAAGGCGGCCGACUGGGCCGACCCUGACGCUGAGGCGCGAAAGCCAGGGGAGCGAACGGG